rnacentral:rRNA from 1 species
CCUACGGGGCGCAGCAGUGGGGGAUAUUGCACAAUGGGGGAAACCCUGAUGCAGCGACGCCGCGUGAGUGAAGAAGUAUUUCGGUACGUAAAGCUCUAUCAGCAGGGAAGAAAAAAAGUCCACAGGACUUUGGACGGUACCUGACUAAGAAGCCCCGGCUAACUACGUGCCAGCAGCCGCGGUAAUACGUAGGGGGCAAGCGUUAUCCGGAUUUACUGGGUGUAAAGGGAGCGUAGACGGCAGCGCAAGUCUGGAGUGAAAUGCCGGGGCUCAACCCCGGAACUGCUUUGGAAACUGUGCGGCUC